AAUAAAAUAUAUAUUUUUUUAAAUACGCCCGAUCUCGUCCGAUCUCGGAAGCUAAGCAGGGUCGGGCCUGGUUAGUACUUGGAUGGGAGACCGCCUGGGAAUACCAGGUGCUGUAAGCU
rnacentral:rRNA from 1 species